AAGUCGUAACAAGGUUUCCGUAGGUGAACCUGCGGAAGGAUCAUUAACACGUAUCCAACGUUAAAACAACCCUGUGAACCUUGAACGCGCUCUUGCAGCCCAUGAAAGCAGCAAUCCCUGGUAAAUCAUUGUUGACCAGCUUUUGAGUCAGGGACCUCUGCCGAUGAGAAGUUACAGUUGCAAUACGAUGCGCUUGCAUUAAGUGACCUGGCAUCCCCAAGCAUCCAUUGUCUGACAGCGUCAUUGGUUGUGUAAGGAUGGCGCGUAAACGAUCGCUAGAGGCCCACACAAUAACCCCUAUGUUUCCGACUGGGCAGCCGAUAAUACGGACGCCGUUUAAAACUUGAACAACUGUUAACAAUGGAUAUCUUGGUUCUC
rnacentral:misc_RNA from 1 species